rnacentral:rRNA from 1 species
GUCGAGCGAAGCGUAUUAGCGGACGUUUUCGGAUGGAAGCAGAUAUGACUUAGCGGCGGACGGGUGAGUAACGCGUGGAUAACCUGCCUCAUACAGGGGGAUAACAGUUAGAAAUGACUGCUAAUACCGCAUAAGCGCACAAGACCGCAUGGUCCGGUGUGAAAAACUCCGGUGGUAUGGGAUGGAUCCGCGUCUGAUUAGCUGGUUGGUGAGGUAACGGCCCACCAAGGCGACGAUCAGUAGCCGACCUGAGAGGGUGGCCGGCCACAUUGGGACUGAGACACGGCCCAAACUCCUACGGGAGGCAGCAGUGGGGAAUAUUGCACAAUGGGGGAAACCCUGAUGCAGCAACGCCGCGUGAGUGAAGAAGUAUUUCGGUAUGUAAAGCUCUAUCAGCAGGGAAGAAGAAAGACGGUACCUGACUAAGAAGCCCCGGCUAACUACGUGCCAGCAGCCGCGGUAAUACGUAGGGGGCAAGCGUUAUCCGGAUUUACUGGGUGUAAAGGGAGCGUAGACGGCUGUGCAAGUCUGAAGUGAAAGCCCGUGGCUCAACCGCGGAACUGCUUUGGAAACUGUAUAGCUUGAGUACUGGAGAGGCAGGCGGAAUUCCUAGUGUAGCGGUGAAAUGCGUAGAUAUUAGGAGGAACACCAGUGGCGAAGGCGGCCUGCUGGACAGAAACUGACGUUGAGGCUCGAAAGCGUGGGGAGCAAACAGGAUUAGAUACCCUGGUAGUCCACGCGGUAAACGAUGAAUGCUAGGUGUUGGGGAGCAAA